GGGCCUAUAGCUCAGCUGUGGUUAGAGCGUCCGCCUGAUAAGCGGGAGGUCGCUGGUUCAACUCCAGCUAGGCCCACUA
rnacentral:tRNA from 1 species